UACGCGGCGCGAACGUAUUUC
rnacentral:miRNA from 1 species